CAGGCUUAACACAUGCAAGUCGAGGGGCAGCAUGGUCUUAGCUUGCUAAGGCCGAUGGCGACCGGCGCACGGGUGAGUAACACGUAUCCAACCUGCCGUCUACUCUUGGACAGCCUUCUGAAAGGAAGAUUAAUACAAGAUGGCAUCAUGAGUCCGCAUGUUCACAUGAUUAAAGGUAUUCCGGUAGACGAUGGGGAUGCGUUCCAUUAGAUAGUAGGCGGGGUAACGGCCCACCUAGUCUUCGAUGGAUAGGGGUUCUGAGAGGAAGGUCCCCCACAUUGGAACUGAGACACGGUCCAAACUCCUACGGGAGGCAGCAGUGAGGAAUAUUGGUCAAUGGGCGAGAGCCUGAACCAGCCAAGUAGCGUGAAGGAUGACUGCCCUAUGGGUUGUAAACUUCUUUUAUAAAGGAAUAAAGUCGGGUAUGGAUACCCGUUUGCAUGUACUUUAUGAAUAAGGAUCGGCUAACUCCGUGCCAGCAGCCGCGGUAAUACGGAGGAUCCGAGCGUUAUCCGGAUUUAUUGGGUUUAAAGGGAGCGUAGAUGGAUGUUUAAGUCAGUUGUGAAAGUUUGCGGCUCAACCGUAAAAUUGCAGUUGAUACUGGAUAUCUUGAGUGCAGUUGAGGCAGGCGGAAUUCGUGGUGUAGCGGUGAAAUGCUUAGAUAUCACGAAGAACUCCGAUUGCGAAGGCAGCCUGCUAAGCUGCAACUGACAUUGAGGCUCGAAAGUGUGGGUAUCAAACAGGAUUAGAUACCCUGGUAGUCCACACGGUAAACGAUGAAUACUCGCUGUUUGCGAUAUACUGCAAGCGGCCAAGCGAAAGCGUUAAGUAUUCCACCUGGGGAGUACGCCGGCAACGGUGAAACUCAAAGGAAUUGACGGGGGCCCGCACAAGCGGAGGAAUAUGUGGUUUAAUUCGAUGAUACGCGAGGAACCUUACCCGGGCUUAAAUUGCAGAUGAAUUACGGUGAAAGCCGUAAGCCGCAAGGCAUCUGUGAAGGUGCUGCAUGGUUGUCGUCAGCUCGUGCCGUGAGGUGUCGGCUUAAGUGCCAUAACGAGCGCAACCCUUGUUGUCAGUUACUAACAGGUUCCGCUGAGGACUCUGACAAGACUGCCAUCGUAAGAUGUGAGGAAGGUGGGGAUGACGUCAAAUCAGCACGGCCCUUACGUCCGGGGCUACACACGUGUUACAAUGGGGGGUACAGAGGGCCGCUACCACGCGAGUGGAUGCCAAUCCCAAAAACCUCUCUCAGUUCGGACUGGAGUCUGCAACCCGACUCCACGAAGCUGGAUUCGCUAGUAAUCGCGCAUCAGCCACGGCGCGGUGAAUACGUUCCCGGGCCUUGUACACACCGCCCGUCAAGCCAUGGGAGCCGGGGGUACCUGAAGUGCGUAACCGCGAGGAGCGCCCUAGGGUAAAACUGGUGACUGGGGCUAAGUA
rnacentral:rRNA from 1 species